AUGCCUUAAACUUAUGAAGAGGGAAAAAUAAUCAUUCCGGGUGAUGCCUGAAUCCUCAUUGCUAACAUGGGACUAAUUUUUGAGUGGGUAAAAGGUUGCCUCUAGGGGGACCCACCUGCUUUGCAGGGUGCCUUGGAGUUAUGAUGUGCUUG